UAGGGAAUCUUCGGCAAUGGGGGGAACCCUGACCGAGCAACGCCGCGUGAGUGAAGAAGGUUUUCGGAUCGUAAAGCUCUGUUGUUAAGGAAGAACGAGUGUGAGAAUGGAAAGUUCAUGCUGUGACGGUACUUAACCAGAAAUGGACGGCUAACUACGUGCCAGCAGCCGCGGUAAUACGUAGGUCCCGAGCGUUGUCCGGAUUUAUUGGGCGUAAAGCGAGCGCAGGCGGUUAGAAAAGUCUGAAGUGAAAGGCAGUGGCUCAACCAUUGUAGGCUUUGGAAACUGUUUAACUUGAGUGCAGAAGGGGAGAGUGGAAUUCCAUGUGUAGCGGUGAAAUGCGUAGAUAUAUGGAGGAACACCGGUGGCGAAAGCGGCUCUCUGGUCUGUAACUGACGCUGAGGCUCGAAAGCGUGGGGAGCGAACAGG
rnacentral:rRNA from 1 species